rnacentral:rRNA from 1 species
GAAACCUAGAGAGACACAGGGAUUGCCCCAGUAACGGCGAGUGAAGCGGCAACAGCUCAAAUUUGAAAUCUGGUCCCCAGGGCCCGAGUUGUAAUUUGUAGAGGAUGCUUUUGGCGCGGCGCCUUCCGAGUUCCCUGGAACGGGACGCCAUAGAGGGUGAGAGCCCCGUCUGGUCGGAUGCCUAGCCUCUGUAAAGCUCCUUCGACGAGUCGAGUAGUUUGGGAAUGCUGCUCAAAAUGGGAGGUAUAUGUCUUCUAAAGCUAAAUAUUGGCCAGAGACCGAUAGCGCACAAGUAGAGUGAUCGAAAGAUGAAAAGCACUUUGAAAAGAGGGUUAAAAAGUACGUGAAAUUGUUGAAAGGGAAGCGCCCAUGACCAGACUUGGGCCCGGUGAAUCAUCCAGCGUUCUCGUUGGUGCACUUUGCCGGGCACAGGCCAGCAUCAGUUUGGCGCGGGGGAAAAAGGCUUUGGGAACGUGGCUCCCUCGGGAGUGUUAUAGCCCACUGCGUAAUACCCUGCGCCGGACUGAGGUACGCGCAUUGCAAGGAUGCUGGCGUAAUGGUCAUCAGCGACCCGUCUUGAAACACGGACCAAGGAGUCGUCUUCGUAUGCGAGUGUUCGGGUGUCAAACCCCUACGCGUAAUGAAAGUGAACGCAGGUGAGAGCUUCGGCGCAUCAUCGACCGAUCCUGAUGUUCUCGGAUGGAUUUGAGUAAGAGCAUACGGGGCCGGACCCGAAAGAAGGUGAACUAUGCCUGUAUAGGGUGAAGCCAGAGGAAACUCUGGUGGAGGCUCGCAGCGGUUCUGACGUGCGAAUCGAUCGUCAAAUAUGGGCAUGGGGGCGAAAGACUAAUCGAACCUCUAAUACUGUCCGACAAC